GGGCCCUUAGCGUAGCUGGUAGCGCGCCUCCAUGGCAUGGAGGAGGUCACCAGUUCGAAUCUGGUAGGGUCCA
rfam:Candidatus Magasanikbacteria bacterium RIFCSPHIGHO2_01_FTLL_33_34 rifcsphigho2_01_scaffold_13191, whole genome shotgun sequence.